rnacentral:lncRNA from 1 species
AAGAAUAAGUUAAAGUUAGUAGAAACCUAGCCGUCUCCAUCUUCUUCUUCUCAAGCUUCUAAGUUCUAAAUCCUCUGUAGUUCCUGUUGAUCAACUCUUCUUGUCUCAAUUGAGUUCACUUACAGGUUGCCCUAAAACAUCAAACUCACCUCGAGUCUAGCUGAUUCUUUGAUUGGUUUGAACUCUUUUCAAAUCAAUUGAUGUAGUAAGUUGUGUAGCAAAUUUUGCUUGUAAUUGGUGUUCGUAUCAUUUACUAAAUGGUGUUGGGGUAUCUUUUACCCAACCAUAUACGAGCUGAUCGAAAUUGGCGUCCAACCAGGUACAAUUUGUUCCUUGGCUUAUAUAAGAAUUGAUUUAAUUAUACAUCUUAGUGGAGUCUUUUAGUGGAAGUUCUAGUUCUUCAUUCAGCUUUUGGACUUAAUUAUACAUCUUUGUGGGUUGUAUUAGCAAUAGAUAAACGAGCCUAAUGAGCUUGGAGGGCUCGAGCUCGGCUCGAGCUAAACGAGCCUAACGAGCUUGAUAAAUAGCUCGCGAGCCGAGCUUGAACAUGAAACAAGGCUUGAUUUAUAAUUUGGGCUCGGCUCAGGCUUGACUCGUAUUAAAACGAGCCAAUUAUGAACAUACAAAGCUCGGCUCGCUCGGCUCGAAUAACACCCUUAAUGUAGCAAACCCUAGUGCGCUUAAAUUGGUAACCCAAGUGGCACGUGUCAUUUUAUGAGUGGCUUCUUAUGGCUAUAUAUAAAUUGGGGCCACAGCCUAAGUUUUUCAAUUUGUGCCAGCCAUAAAAAUAAAAAAAAUUAAGCUAUAUCCCAAAUUUGUAUGUGGCCAUGAGCGGCCAAUCAUAAAAUAACGCGUGUCAUUUGAGUUACUAAUUUAAGCCCACUAAGGUUCACUACACCAUACAUAGGUUAUAUUAUAGUAAUUGAACAAAACUUUAGUAACACGUGGUAUGUUGUGAUUGGGCCAUCAUGGCCGCAUAGAAAAUGAUGCCACAGCCUAAAUUCUUUGAUAAAAUAUAAAUAGGAAAAUUGCCAAAAUAAAUAAAAUUGUUAAAAGUUUAUUUAAAUAAUUCUAGCGUACAAUUCAUGCCCACUGAAAAAAAUAUGGUAGCCAAAAAUUCCCAUAAACACAAAAUUUUUCACUUGGUGCACCAUAUAUCUGUUGACAGAUUACAAAAAGGGGGUUACUCACCUCAAAACAUUUGUGCUCUGUAAAUUACAUGAGGAAGAUACAUCACCUCAUUUUUCAGAUGCGAAAAGUUUAAUGCAGUAUGUGUAGCAGCUCGUUGAACAUGUGCAACAAGCUUUACUAGGAGUUGAUCAACAUUGAACAACUGCUGAAAGAGUGGUCAAAGGUAAGUAAUGACCAUUUUGAGGACACUAUACAUGCAGCAGUUCCAUACGGAAUUCUAUGGACUAUGGUCCAUGAGAAAUGACGUAAUCUUCAGGAACAUAGAUUUCUCCAAUGAAAGUGCGGUACAAAGAGUUAAAAUGUUCACUUUCAUGGAUGGAAAUUUCCAAAGAGAACUUGCAGCACCGAUCAAUGCAUAUUUUUAUUGAGUUGAAGGACGAUGGGGUAAUAUGUUUGCUGGAUAAGGGAGGGCAUGACUAGGUGCAAGGUAAUGACAGGGGAAGCAUGAGGUGAGGCAAAGGAAUAGCUUUACACUGGCAGUCAGCAAGCUUUCGGAGCAGCAACAACUUAGGGUUAUGCUUGUCUAUAGUAGGGUAUUGUGUCUAGUCUAUUAUUUGUUUUUAUAUUCAGUACCUGACAGGGUUAGUUAACGCCUUCUGAUCAGGAUUGUAUUCACUUUGUUUCGAUCAUCACUUACUUUUUUUAUUUGAUAAAAAAAAAAAAAAACCAUGGCAGAUUGGAGGUAAAUGUAGCUUAUUUUAUUAGAAGCAAAAAUAACAGAGAAAUCAACAAAUACAAAGAAGAUAUAGAUUCCACCA